AGCGAACGCUGGCGGCAGGCCUAACACAUGCAAGUCGAACGAUCCUUCGGGAUAGUGGCGGACGGGUGAGUAACACGUGGGAACGUGCCCUUUGGUUCGGAACAACUCAGGGAAACUUGAGCUAAUACCGAAUGUGCCCUUCGGGGGAAAGAUUUAUCGCCAUUGGAGCGGCCCGCGUCUGAUUAGCUAGUUGGUGAGGUAACGGCUCACCAAGGCGACGAUUAGUAGCUGGUCUGAGAGGAUGAUCAGCCACACUGGGACUGAGACACGGCCCAGACUCCUACGGGAGGCAGCAGUGGGGAAUCUUGCGAAAUGGGCGAAAGCCUGACGCAGCCAUGCCGCGUGAAUGAUGAAGGUCUUAGGAUUGUAAAAUUCUUUCACCGGGGACGAUAAUGACGGUACCCGGAGAAGAAGCUCCGGCUAACUUCGUGCCAGCAGCCGCCGUAAAAC
rnacentral:rRNA from 1 species